rnacentral:rRNA from 1 species
UACGGAGGAUGCAAGUGUUAUCCGGAUUCAUUGGGUUUAAAGGGUGCGUAGGCGGGCUAUUAAGUCAGUGGUGAAAUCCUGCAGCUUAACUGCAGAACUGCCGUUGAUACUGAUAGUCUUGAGUUUAGUUAAGGUAGGCGGAAUGUGUAAUGUAGCGGUGAAAUGCUUAGAUAUUACACAGAACACCAAUUGCGUAGGCAGCUUACUGAGCCGACACUGACGCUGAGGCACGAAAGCGUGGGGAUCAAACAGGA